rnacentral:misc_RNA from 1 species
GAUGAAGAACGCAGCGAAAUGCGAUAAGUAAUGCGAAUUGCAGAAUCCGUGAGUCAUCGAAUCUUUGAACGCACAUUGCGCCUGCCAGCACUCUGGCAGGCAUGCCUGUUCGAGCGUCAUUUCAACCAUCAAGCCCUAGGCUUGCGUUGGAGCCCUGCGGCUGCCGCAGGCCCCUAAAAGCAGUGGCGGGCUCGCUAUCACACCGAGUGCAGUAGAUUACUCUUCGCUCAGGGCGUGUGGCGGGUUCCAGCCGUGAAACCCCCUACUUCUCAAGGUUGACCUCGGAUCAGGUAGGAAUACCCGCUGAACUUAAGCAUAUCAAUAAGCGGAGGA